CGACCUCUCCCUUCCUGUCCAGCUUCCUCCAUGGUUGCUCUACUUCAACACGACAUGGACGGAUUCCACAUCCACCGACCCACUGACGCCAUGGACGGAGGUCCAACCCUUCAGCAGCAGCAGGCCGCCAUUUUCAUUGAUUUGAGGAAUUCCUGCAAGUGAUUGAUGGUGUGCAGGCCAUGGAGGGCUUCAACCCAUCAAGGUACACUGCUCCAAACCCCCUCUGUUCGAUUAGAUUGGACCAAAUCCAUUGAUUUCUUCUUCCAUUCUCAUCUUGUUUGCCCGAGGAGACCAACUGAAUUCAUGGACUAUAUUAUUAUUUUUGGUCUUGUGAAUGCUGGCCAAAUUCCUUGAUUUUAUUUGAUUCGGUUCGAUUUCGCAGGCGUGGUUCCUAUCUUGCUCUCUUAUUUUUCUUCAUACAGGGCCGAUCAAUUGUCACGGUGUCCUUAAGCACAAUUCACAAGCUUCCCCGUUAUCUCUGGGUUAUAGAUUUGUUGCACUCAAUGGAAACUGGGAGCAUCACUCUCCUUGACUGGAACCAGUGGCCAGAUUAUAGAUCACACAAGCUGUUGGUGAGCUUUUCCUUUUGAUUUCUAUAUCUCUGGGUUAUAGAUCAUCUCCUACUUGCUAGAAUUUAUUUUCUGUGCCUCUGAUAACUCCAUGUUCUGUAUGUUAUUAAAGUUUUUGUCUGAAUAUUGUGUCCGAGCAAGCACUGUGGGACAUCGAUCUUUGCAGAUCCAGUCAUGUCAACAUACCCAUAGGAUGCCUUUGAAUUUUAUCUGUGCCAGCAGACCAUACAGAUUUAAUUUUGUAGGUUCGGUGAUACAUCUGCUCUCAUGGCAUGCAAAACAGCAACCUUCUCCUUCUUUAUAUUGUGAUUUUAAAAAUUAGCAUUGGUUUGCGGAACCCCUGGAAUAAUUGAAGUGGGGUUAAAGGGAGAAGUUCGUUGUCUGACCAGUUCUGAAUAUUUUACAGUCUAAUGGCCUUUAGAAUUCAUGCAUUUUUACUACCUCCUCCAAAUUUGCUACAUUGUAGUAAUAAGUUAAAAGGAGCUACUAUUUGUUCUUAGAGGUUAGCAUAGCAAGAUUAACUGGUGGAUGACCCGAUGCUUAUUUCCUCUUGCUUGCUAUAUGUCAUGAUUCAUGACCUCCAUAUGUUCAAAUCACGACUCGGGGGCAUCAGUUAGUGGCGCAUAUACUCCGCCGUUGUGAUUCCUCGAAUGAUGCUCAUUUAGUCAUUUUAUAGAUUUAGAUAUCGAUUUUUAAGCCCUAUGCUCCUUCCAUUUUAGGAUCUGCUAAUUUUCAUUCUACUAUGUGUAGCGCUGCUCACAUGAAACCCAUCACUCAUUUGCACAUAGGUUAAAGAUGGAGAUAAAGACAGUCUUUUGUGACCAAGGGGUGGAAUUCUUUUCAGCUUACAGAAACCUUCUUACCAGCAUCGCUUCUUGCCGACGCACUAAUCUUUAAAAACGAACUGAUAGCUACAUGAUUUUACUUUGUUUUCCUUGGUUUAAAUCAUGUAUAUAGUGUAGUGUCUGCUUUUUGACAAUUUCUUAUUCACCUGUAUGCUUUCUUUUGCAAGUUCAUUCCCAAUCUCUAAUAGCCAAUUAAUGACUGCAUGAUCUGGUUCUGCUUUAGUGCCCUCAAACUGUACUUUCAGUCAGAUGCCCAUUGAAUAAUGAUUGCUUAAUCUUCCUAUCCUUUUCCUUUGAAAUUGUGCUUCACAAAUAGUAGUCAAACAAGACUACCAUUUACUCAGGCCAUGCUUUCAAUCCCAUGCCUAUUGACUAAUGAUUGCUUCUUCAGGCAUGGAAAUCCAUGUGCUGACGGUGCUUGCAAAUAUUUUCAGCCAUGGAAUAUGUGAUGUAAGGUGCAGGGGAGUAUGCAUGUCCCCAUUGGCAGAGAUCCCUGCUUUUGAGAUUUUUCCGUUUAAAAUUCAGAUAUGUCGAGUUAAGUAAAAUUCAGUGGUGAAGAAAGUCUUACGAUGUACAAUUAUUUUAGUGUAAAUCUCUGUUGGAAAAAAAAUCAGUUAGUAAAGAAUGAAUACAUCAUCCUUUUUGUUAUAACAAUGUUUAUGAUACUUUGUUGUAGAGAACAAAGGGGUUGUAAGAUAUAUGGCAUAACAUGAUAAAAAACAGUGAAAUCUUAGGUAAAGAGGUGAGACUCACAUAUAUGUAAACUUAUUUUCUUCCCUGUAGAACAAUAGCUUUUGUUAGCUAAAGAGGUUAGACUCACAUGAGUUUCCUUUUGGCCAGAUUUUAAUGAUUUAUAUUAUGCUGUGUUGUUCUCUUAGAUAUGCUUGCUGCUCCGGUAUCAAGUGAAGAUCUUGGUUCAAUAUGCUUGUCCACCGCCUGAAGUAUUUGGAUGAACAGUAUGUCAAUGUCAACCUACAUGAUGAUGACUUUUUCUACGCCGAGCAUUGUGAUCAAGGUAUUUCUUUCUGCACACAGAAAUUAAAAUGUAUAGAUGGAUGAAAAUGGAACAUAAAUUAAAAUGUUAUAGCUUGGAAAACACUUGUAUGCACUAAUAGUUUCUACUGGCUACCUCCAUAAGUAAAGAACAAACCUUGGUUGAUAUGAUAAUAAAUUGUUGGAUGACAAAAACCAAUAACUGGGAUCCGUUGGAACAAGAAACUUCAACUUGUAAUGCACAUCCGCCAUCAAUUGAUAAUAAAUUGUUUAGUCUUUAUGCCUGAGCAUUACGUUUAUGUAAAUUAUAUCAUUAGGUAUAAUUUUUUGCCUACAAACAUGCUCUGAACUGAGAUGUGUCCAUCUGCCUACAACACCAAGAUCCAUAGAGCAGACAGGCCAGAAGAAAUAAGAUUGCCCUUUUUCCGGAGAAAGAAAAUGAAUUGCGCUAAGUUGCAAUGAUAUGUUGAUGGGAGAAACUAUUCAUGACAAGUAUCUCAAAUAUCCCAAAUGUUAGUGUAGUUACACGUAUUUCUUAGACCGUUGUUUAUAUGUUUGUAAUGUUAUAUGUUAAGAUAUCGCAAUGGUGGGUUGCAUAUUUUUCACGUGUAAGUUUAAUUUGCAUGUUCGACCAUUAGCGUCACAAUACUUAUAUAUAGCACAUAAUCUUUGUGAAUAGAGGUAUGCUAAAAGCUAAGGAGAGGAGAGGGCUUAUAUCUUUGUGAAUGCAUCCAUGUAGCUAGGCGAUUAACGGAGAGUCGGGUAGAAGCAUGUUGAUGAUAUAGAAUAGUCACAAGUAUACCGUUUAUUUAACAACAGUGCAUAGUUAGCAUGUAUCUUAUACUCCCUCCGUAAACUAAUAUAAGAGCGUUUAGAAUACUAAAUUAGUGAUCUAAACGCUCUUAUAUUAGUUUACAGAGGGAGUAAUAUAUAUUAUCUUACUUUUGUUGACAUCUUUUGAGAAAUUUAGUCACAACGAUUCAAGAGCUUGUUAUGUAACUUUGUAUGCAUAUGUCAAAGAAAAAAAUCCCUGUUGUGGUGUGUCCAUUAUGAUUAUCCUUAUACAGUGGGCACCACUACUUGCUGUCCGGAUAAGCUUACUCCUUAAUACUACUCUACAUUUAGGAAUGCAGUGAGUAUGUGGUGUUUUUUUCUGAUGUGCAGAGUGGUGCAGUUGGAUAGUUGUUCAAGAUAAUUUUGCCUGAAGUUUUGAUAUAUUUUUAUAUUUUGAUAUAAUGUGAACUGCCCAAAAAAUAGACAAAUAGGAAAAUUAUAUGGUCAUUGGAUGAUCUGGUUAAUUGUCAUUCAAAGACAUGAGAUCGAAAGAAUGUUUCCUUGAUGUCCACUUUUAAUGAGCUAAUAAUAAUUAUCUUUUGGCCUUGUUUUAGUUGAACCGUGCAUUGCGCAUUGCAUUCAAGGUUAUUAAUUGUUUGGGAUGAACAUUCAAUUUCUUUUCAUGUCAUUUCUUGAUGAUUAGUUCCAUUGACACAAAUAGUUCCCGAAUGUUAAUAAUGGCCACUUGGGAAUUCCAAUGUGUGCUUUCAGAUGUAUGUAUCUAACUUUGGAGUCCAUUCAUGCAUAUUCAGCAUGUUUCUGCCGCGCUCCGCAUCUCACCGGUGGCCUCUGUAAGAUGUUGUGCUCUUAUAGAAUUUAGAGCAGCGGCCUUUUACAACGAAUACUGCAUAACAUGGUGUUGUCCAGUGGGAUGUGGAAUUUUUUGUUUGAUUCAUUUACUAUCCUUGGUGCUAAUUUACAUAUCUUAGACUCCUUUGCUUUGUUUCAGCAGUAGAAUAUACAAGAUAGGCAAAUACUUCUAAGUUUUUUGUGAAAUUCUGAUCCACUGGUGAUUUUUUCUUUUCUUAAAAAAGUGUUGGGGGUGCUAAAUAACUAUGGGCUCAGGCUCAAGGCCAUACUUGUUAUUGCCAAUGGGUUAUUGCUAUGUAUUUUUACAUGCCGGCGGUUCGAAGUUGAUAAUGAUUUCUGCAUGUCUACACAUAGUUUAUUCAUGCCACUGGAAAAAGCACCAACAAUGUUGUGUGCAGAGAUGUCUUGGAGGGACAACACAGGUUUGUUUUCCAUACAUGCCAAUCCACCUUAUUAUAUUAGGACAUAUUACACAUCUCCUUUAAUAUAUUUUUCUGAUUUAUGUGCAUAUUAUGCAUACAAUGAUGAGCUGUUCUGUUAGGAUAAUUUCAAUUAAGGAGCUUUACUAAAUAAUAGUACAACGAUGUACUGAAGGAGGCUUUGCAACUAGCAAGGUACUCUGUUUACAAUCUGAUUGUGAUAUGUCUUAAUAGAUGUGUGGCUGUUCUGUUCUCUCAGACAAUAUAAAGCAUGGUUCUAUAUGCCCUGCUAAUUUUGUAACUUCCAAUGUUUUGUGGAGCCUUUCACGUUUGCACUAGUGUAACCGUGUAACCUUGCACGUAUGCUACAGUAGGGCAGAGUUGGUGUAGCAUCAUUAGUUUCUUUGUUGAUAUAUUAACAAGUUAUCCUGUCCAAUUUCUAGAAUGUUUGGCACCCUGUUCGCGUGCAAGAUUUACUAGGAGCGCCCUCUUCCUUGACACAGCGAGCAUCGAACAGGGGCGCUCCCAGGGGAUGCAUGGCCAUCAGGCGCAUCUCCUUCGUUUGGCCGCCGCUUCCCUUUGACAUCAGCUAAGUGAACAGCAAACGCGGCACCACAUCAUUCACUUUCCUACCAUAGUUUGACAGCUGAUGCCGGUGCUUCGCUCCACUACUCCAUCAUAGCAUGUAAAAAUGUUUAAAUUCAGAAAUAACAUUUUGCCUUCUACACUUGCACUGUUUGGGUUAGUAAAAAUGUAACUAAGCUCAGUGGAUGGUGUUAUUUGAAGCCAGAUUAUAGGAUUUUUCCUCGAUCUAGAAUUUGGUAUGAUGUAUAACCAUCAGUUCAAAAAUGUACAACCAUCAGUUCAUUAGAUGAUUCCUUUAUGUUAUUCCAAAGGCUUAGCAAUGAAUAGCCUGUUUUCUCUUUCUUUUUUUCUAAGAGGGAAUAAACACUAGUAGAAAAGGGGGUAAUGGUCCGGGUCAGCCCAUUAGUCCUGUU